rnacentral:rRNA from 1 species
UACGUAGGGGGCUAGCGUUGUCCGGAUUUAUUGGGCGUAAAGAGCGUGUAGGCGGCCAGACAGGUCCGUUGUGAAAACUAGAGGCUUAACCUCUAGACGUCGAUGGAAACCGUCUGGCUAGAGUCCGGAAGAGGAGAAUGGAAUUCCUGGUGUAGCGGUGAAAUGACGCAGAUAUCAGGAAGAACACCCGUGGCUAAGGCGGUUCUCUAGUACGGUACUGACGCUGAGACGCGAAAGCGUGGGGAGCGAACAGG